CGACUCUCGGCAACGGAUAUCUCGGCUCUUGCAUCGAUGAAGAACGUAGCGAAAUGCGAUACUUGGUGUGAAUUGCAGAAUCCCGCGAACCAUCAAAUCUUUGAACGCAAGUUGCGCCCGAAGCCAUUCGGCCGAGGGCACGCCUGCCUGGGUGUCGUGA
rnacentral:rRNA from 1 species